rnacentral:rRNA from 1 species
UAUUAGGCAAAUCCGUACUCGUUAAGGCUGAGCUGUGAUGGGAGAAGACAUUGAGUCUUCGAGUCGUUGAUUUCACACUGCGAGAAAAGCCUCUAGAUAGAAAAUAGGUGCCCGUACCGCAAACCGACACAGGUAGUCAAGAUGAGAAUUCUAAGGUGAGCGAGCGAACUCUCGUUAAGGAACUCGGCAAAAUGACCCGUAACUUCGGGAGAAGGGUGCUCUUUAGGGUUAACGCCCAGAAGAGCCGCAGUGAAUAGGCCAAGCGACUGUUUAUCAAAAACACAGGUCUCUGCUAAACCGUAAGGUGAUGUAUAGGGGCUGACGCCUGCCCGGUGCUGGAAGGUUAAGAGGAGUGGUUAGCUUCUGCGAAGCUACGAAUCGAAGCCCAGUAAACGGCGGCCGUAACUAUAACGGUCCUAAGGUAGCGAAAUUCCUUGUCGGGUAAGUUCCGACCCGCACGAAAGGCGUAACGAUUUGGGCACUGUCUCAACGAGAGACUCGGUGAAAUCAUAGUACCUGUGAAGAUGCAGGUUACCCGCGACAGGACGGAAAGACCCCGUGGAGCUUUACUGUAGCCUGAUAUUGAAAUUCGGCACAGCUUGUACAGGAUAGGUAGGAGCCUUUGAAACGUGAGCGCUAGCUUACGUGGAGGCGCUGGUGGGAUACUACCCUAGCUGUGUUGGCUUUCAACCCGCACCACUUAUCGUGGUGGGAGACAGUGUCAGGCGGGCAGUUUGACUGGGGCGGUCGCCUCCUAAAAGGUAACGGAGGCGCUCAAAGGUUCCCUCAGAAUGGUUGGAAAUCAUUCAUAGAGUGUAAAGGCAUAAGGGAGCUUGACUGCGAGACCUACAAGUCGAGCAGGGUCGAAAGACGGACUUAGUGAUCCGGUGGUUCCGCAUGGAAGGGCCAUCGCUCAACGGAUAAAAGCUACCCGGGGAUAACAGGCUUAUCUCCCCCAAGAGUUCACAUCGACGGGGAGGUUUGGCACCUCGAUGUCGGCUCAUCGCAUCCUGGGGCUGUAGUCGGUCCCAAGGGUUGGGCUGUUCGCCCAUUAAAGCGGUACGCGAGCUGGGUUCAGAACGUCGUGAGACAGUUCGGUCCCUAUCCGUCGUGGGCGUAGGAAAUUUGAGAGGAGCUGUCCUUAGUACGAGAGGACCGGGAUGGACAUACCUCUGGUGUACCAGUUGUCGUGCCAACGGCAUAGCUGGGUAGCUAUGUGUGGACGGGAUAAGUGCUGAAAGCAUCUAAGCAUGAAGCCCCCUCAAGAUGAGAUUUCCCAACUUCGGUUAUAAGAUCCCUCAAAGAUGAUGAGGUUAAUAGGUUCGAGGUGGAAGCAUGGUGACAUGUGGAGCUGACGAAUACUAAUCGAUCGAAGACUUAAUC